rnacentral:rRNA from 1 species
AACGAACGCUGGCGGCAGGCUUAACACAUGCAAGUCGAGCGCCCCGCAGGGGGAGCGGCAGACGGGUGAGUAACGCGUGGGAAUCUGCCCAUCUCUACGGAAUAACGCAUGGAAACGUGUGCUAAUACCGUAUACGUCCUUCGGGAGAAAGAUUUAUCGGAGAUGGAUGAGCCCGCGUUGGAUUAGCGAGUUGGUGGGGUAAAGGCCUACCAAGGCGACGAUCCAUAGCUGGUCUGAGAGGAUGAUCAGCCACACUGGGACUGAGACACGGCCCAGACUCCUACGGGAGGCAGCAGUGGGGAAUAUUGGACAAUGGGCGCAAGCCUGAUCCAGCCAUGCCGCGUGAGUGAUGAAGGCCCUAGGGUUGUAAAGCUCUUUCACCGGUGAAGGUAAUGACGGUAACCGGAGAAGAAGCCCCGGCUAACUUCGUGCCAGCCGCCGCCGUAAAAC